rnacentral:tRNA from 6 species
UCCGGCGUAGCUCAGUGGUAGAGCAUCGGACUGUUAAUCCGCUGGUCGUAGGUUCGAAUCCUACCGCCGGAGCCA